CAAUUAUAUAAUAAUUUCGAUAAAUAUUUUACUUGAUCUGAACGUUUCGAUAAAAAUUAUAAAAAUAAUCUCAUAAAUUUAUAUAACGAUAGUCAUUAAGCAUGAACAUGAAAAAAAUAGUUUAAAAUUACGAAUCGAUUUAAUAAAAAUAUAUUACUAUCUGUUGAAUAUAAUUUUCUUUUAUUUAAAUAUUGGAAAACAAUAAGAAUAUAUAUAUUUUUUUAUUGCGAAUUUAAGUAGUGAUGAAAACGAUAAUCUUUUAUCAUAACGGAGCAAAUCGAAUAACUAAUAAAAUAACUAAACGAUAAUGCAACAAAAAAACAUUUCUAAUGCUAGAAUUUUAUCUACUUGAUGAUAUCGGAAUAAUGAUUAAGGUCUAUUUUGUAAAGAAAGUUUACCAGAAGUCGAUUGGGAAGUUGAUUCAAUUUCGGAUGAUUUCACUUUAUGACAAACGUUUCAAACUGGUUUAUAAAUUAUGCAUCAGCAAAAUCGUAAACUGGAAAUAUAUAACAUUGAUAAUAUUAAUGAAAUAUGGAAAGUUGUCAGAAUAUGUGAAACAUUUCUUGAUUUGAUGUAUCCAAAACGAUAUAUUUCUCUAUCUCUUUAAUCCCCAAUCUCCAGAGUACCUAUUACGUUUUCCAUUAAAACAGAAUUAAAGAUUUAACGUCUUAAAUAUUAAAUAAUAUUUAUGUGUUUUACGUAAUUACAAAUUUAAGAAUAGUCAUUUUUAUAAUUAUAAAAUAUUCUGAAAAAAGAAAAAGAAAAUUAAUUCGUGAUAGUCAAUAUAUUUUGUAUCAGUGACUAUAUCUUGGUUAUGGAACUUAAGAUGUUGAUAUAACCUGACUGUGCAUAGAAUAUGAGUCUUUCUGAAGCUCGCUUGUCUGUCAUUAAUAUUUAGGUAUCAAGCUGGAAGGGAAAUUCGACUGCAUGCAAUAUUCCUGAUCUUCUAUACCAUUUUGGGGUCACACGUUGCCAUGACGACAGAUGUAAUGCAAUAAACAGCUACAGGUCUAUCAUGCGAAGUUUGGCUUUGGAUAGCUCGAAUCUGGUUAAGAUUUUUCUCUUCUUGAAAUUUGUAGGCAUUUAUUGAUAACAAUGAUCGGUAUUGCUCUUACUGAAAAGAAAUUUCCUUUAUAAAUUUUUUGUAAGGAUGCUAUAUAUAUAUAUAAUGAAUACGUACUCGUAUGAAGUAUUUCAAAUUUCAGAUCAAUCUUUCGACGUUAUUAAAAGUUUUUGAUUUUUUUUAAAGUUUAUUUUCUAACUUAUUGCGAUAUUUCAGUGUGAC
rnacentral:lncRNA from 1 species